UUAAGUGACUAAGCGUACACGGUGGAUGCCUAGGCAGUCAGAGGCGAUGAAGGGCGUGCUAAUCUGCGAAAAGCGUCGGUAAGGUGAUAUGAACCGUUAUAACCGGCGAUACCCGAAUGGGGAAACCCAGUGUGUUUCGACACACUAUCAUGUCAUGAAUACAUAGUGGCAUGAGGCGAACCGGGGGAACUGAAACAUCUAAGUACCCCGAGGAAAAGAAAUCAACCGAGAUUCCCCCAGUAGCGGCGAGCGAACGGGGAGGAGCCCAGAACCUGAAUCGGCUUGUGUGUUAGUGGAAGCGUCUGGAAAGUCGCGCAGCAAAGGGUGAUAGCCCCGUACACUAAAAUGCACAGGUCGUGAGUUCGAUGAGUAGGGCGGGACACGUGACAUCCUGUCUGAAUAUGGGGGGACCAUCCUCCAAGGCUAAAUACUCCUGACUGACCGAUAGUGAACCAGUACCGUGAGGGAAAGGCGAAAAGAACCCCGGCGAGGGGAGUGAAAUAGAACCUGAAACCGUGUACGUACAAGCAGUGGGAGCACCUUCGUGGUGUGACUGCGUACCUUUUGUAUAAUGGGUCAGCGACUUAUAUUUUGUAGCAAGGUUAACCGUAUAGGGGAGCCGUAGGGAAACCGAGUCUUAACUGGGCGAAUAGUUGCAAGGUAUAGACCCGAAACCCGGUGAUCUAGCCAUGGGCAGGUUGAAGGUUGGGUAACACUAACUGGAGGACCGAACCGACUAAUGUUGAAAAAUUAGCGGAUGACUUGUGGCUGGGGGUGAAAGGCCAAUCAAACCGGGAGAUAGCUGGUUCUCCCCGAAAGCUAUUUAGGUAGCGCCUCGUGAACUCAUCUUCGGGGGUAGAGCACUGUUUCGGCUAGGGGGCCAUCCCGGCUUACCAAACCGAUGCAAACUCCGAAUACCGAAGAAUGUUAUCACGGGAGACACACGGCGGGUGCUAACGUCCGUCGUGAAGAGGGAAACAACCCAGACCGCCAGCUAAGGUCCCAAAGUCAUGGUUAAGUGGGAAACGAUGUGGGAAGGCACAGACAGCCAGGAUGUUGGCUUAGAAGCAGCCAUCAUUUAAAGAAAGCGUAAUAGCUCACUGGUCGAGUCGGCCUGCGCGGAAGAUGUAACGGGGCUAAACCAUGCACCGAAGCUGCGGCAGCGACGCUUAGGCGUUGUUGGGUAGGGGAGCGUUCUGUAAGCCGUUGAAGGUGGCCUGUGAGGGUUGCUGGAGGUAUCAGAAGUGCGAAUGCUGACAUAAGUAACGAUAAAGCGGGUGAAAAGCCCGCUCGCCGGAAGACCAAGGGUUCCUGUCCAACGUUAAUCGGGGCAGGGUGAGUCGACCCCUAAGGCGAGGCUGAAAAGCGUAGUCGAUGGGAAACAGGUUAAUAUUCCUGUACUUGGUGUUACUGCGAAGGGGGGACGGAGAAGGCUAGGCUGGCCGGGCGACGGUUGUCCCGGUUUAAGCGUGUAGGGGGUGUGACCUGGUAAAUCCGGUUGCAUAUCAACCCUGAGGCGUGAUGACGAUGCACUACGGUGCAGAAGUAGUUGAUGCCCUGCUUCCAGGAAAAUCCUCUAAGCUCCAGGUAACAUUGAAUCGUACCCCAAACCGACACAGGUGGUCAGGUAGAGAAUACCAAGGCGCUUGAGAGAACUCGGGUGAAGGAACUAGGCAAAAUGGUGCCGUAACUUCGGGAGAAGGCACGCUGGCAUGUAGGUGAAGUCCCUUGCGGAUGGAGCUGAAGCCAGUCGAAGAUACCAGCUGGCUGCAACUGUUUAAUAAAAACACAGCACUGUGCAAACACGAAAGUGGACGUAUACGGUGUGACGCCUGCCCGGUGCUGGAAGGUUAAUUGAUGGGGUCAGCCGCAAGGCGAAGCUCUUGAUCGAAGCCCCAGUAAACGGCGGCCGUAACUAUAACGGUCCUAAGGUAGCGAAAUUCCUUGUCGGGUAAGUUCCGACCUGCACGAAUGGCGUAAUGAUGGCCAGGCUGUCUCCACCCGAGACUCAGUGAAAUUGAACUCGCUGUGAAGAUGCAGUGUACCCGCGGCAAGACGGAAAGACCCCGUGAACCUUUACUAUAGCUUGACACUGAACAUUGAGCCUUGAUGUGUAGGAUAGGUGGGAGGCUUUGAAGCGUGGACGCCAGUCUGCGUGGAGCCAUCCUUGAAAUACCACCCUUUAAUGUUUGAUGUUCUAACUCUGCCCCGUGAUCCGGGGUGAGGACAGUGUCUGGUGGGUAGUUUGACUGGGGCGGUCUCCUCCCAAAGAGUAACGGAGGAGCACGAAGGUUAGCUAAUCACGGUCGGACAUCGUGAGGUUAGUGCAAAGGCAUAAGCUAGCUUGACUGCGAGAGUGACGGCUCGAGCAGGUACGAAAGUAGGUCUUAGUGAUCCGGUGGUUCUGAAUGGAAGGGCCAUCGCUCAACGGAUAAAAGGUACUCCGGGGAUAACAGGCUGAUACCGCCCAAGAGUUCAUAUCGACGGCGGUGUUUGGCACCUCGAUGUCGGCUCAUCACAUCCUGGGGCUGAAGUAGGUCCCAAGGGUAUGGCUGUUCGCCAUUUAAAGUGGUACGCGAGCUGGGUUUAGAACGUCGUGAGACAGUUCGGUCCCUAUCUGCCGUGGGCGUUGGAAGAUUGAGAGGGGUUGCUCCUAGUACGAGAGGACCGGAGUGAACGCACCACUGGUGUUCGGGUUGUCAUGCCAAUGGCAUUGCCCGGUAGCUAAGUGCGGAAAAGAUAAGCGCUGAAAGCAUCUAAGCGCGAAACUUGCCUCAAGAUGAGUCUUCCCUUGGACUUUGAGUCCACUGAAGGAACGUUUAAGACUAAGACGUUGAUAGGCUGGGUGUGUAAGUGCAGCGAUGCAUUGAGCUAACCAGUACUAAUGAUCCGUGAGGCUUAACCU
rnacentral:rRNA from 1 species